rfam:Spinacia oleracea cultivar SynViroflay scaffold11270.con0004.1, whole genome shotgun sequence.
CAAAUAUGUCUCUUCGAACUGAUAAAAUUAGAUCGAUACAGAGAAGAUUAGUAUGGCCCCUGCAUAAAGAACUAAAGGUGACAUACAAGUCGGUCCAAAUUUAU